rnacentral:misc_RNA from 1 species
UUUCCGUAGGUGAACCUGCGGAAGGAUCAUUGUCGAAGCCUGCCCAGCAGAACGACCCGCGAACUUGUUUAAACAACCGGGGGCAGGGGCGAUCUCGCCCCGUGCCCUCGAACGGCAGGGAGACACUCGUGCCUUCUUGUCGAACAACGAACCCCGGCGCGGUCUGCGCCAAGGAACUUCAAUUAAAGAGUGCCUCCGGUCGCCUCGGAAACGAUGCGCGUGUCGGAGGCGAAUCUUGUACAAAACCAUAACGACUCUCGGCAACGGAUAUCUCGGCUCUC